rnacentral:rRNA from 1 species
UCGGCUUAGAGUUUGAUCAUGGCUCAGAUUGAACGCUGGCGGCAGGCUUAACACAUGCAAGUCGAACGGUAAAGUAGCUUGCUACUUACGAGUGGCGGACGGGUGAGUAACGUAUGGGAAUUUACCGAGUGGAGGGGGACAACAGUUGGAAACGGCUGCUAAUACCGCAUAACGUCGAGAGACCAAAGGGUUUCGACUUGCCAUUUGAUGAGCCCAUAUGAGAUUAGCUAGUUGGUGUGGUAAUGGCUCACCAAGGCGACGAUCUCUAGCUGGUUUGAGAGGAUGACCAGCCACACUGGGACUGAGACGCGGCCCAGACUCCUACGGGAGGCAGCAGUGGGGAAUAUUGCACAAUGGGGGGAACCCUGAUGCAGCCAUGCCGCGUGUAUGAAGAAGGCCUUAGGGUUGUAAAGUACUUUCGUGGAGGAGGAAGGGUUUACGUAAUCGUGGACAUUGACGUUACUCCAAGAAGAAGCACCGGCUAACUCCGUGCCAGCAGCCGCGGUAAUACGGAGGUGCGAGCGUUAAUCGGAAUGACUGGGCGUAAAGGGCAUGUA